CAUUCAGCUGCGGUUCACAGAGAUAUUCAAAAUAUACCAACUCUUCUCAAGAUUGUCUGAAAACCAAUAAUCAAAAUGGCCAAGGCUCUGUUCAUCGUCCUCGCUUGUGCUCUCUUCGUCGCCGUCCUCGCUGAUUACGAGCUCACCGACGACACCCUUGAAUUCUUUGAGACCGAGAAGAGGGGUCUGGGAAGGAAAAUGAAGAAGUACAAGACCUGCAUGCAAUACGGCAUGGAAUGCUGGUGCAACAGGCGUAGUGGUUCAGUCGUCUUCUGUAGCGGUGCCGGAAAUGGAGAUAACAUGUAAACUCUCUGAUAUCACAAGUUGACCAAUCCCGGAUCAGAAUGGAAUGACGUACGAAACAGUCUUGACCAAUCAAAUUCUCUCUCUUUCUCCGAUUUUCUUAACUGUUAAUGUUAUAGAUUCCAACAUUUAGUGAAACUGUAAUAAAGCUAUUUUAAACAAA